CUGCUGGCAUAGCCUAGUCUUACUUCCGGGACACUACAGAGCCAAGAGCCUGGGUGACUCCUGCCUGCCCACACAAUUCCUCUCGCAGGUGGCUCUCUGUUGCCGGCUUCCAUAGGCUAGCCCCCACUCCACCCCAGACUCUAGACCGGACCGCUCCAGAUUUAGCAGUUGAGGCCCUUUAAAAGCCUCACAGCUGCCUCGCUGCGGGCAGCCUUCCUGGGAAAUGUAGUCUCCUGAGUGAAGCUUCGCAGCUUCCCCGGGCUGUUUUGCUACUGGCCAAAAAGGGGCUUUGCUACCACCUUGGAUUACUGUGACAGAGAAACGAAACCUUGUGUGAAAAACGUAUCCAUCGCAUCAGAGUGGGAACCAGGAUCUUAUCCGGCUUACAAUGCUCUUGACUGUAACAUCUGCAAGGGACACACGGGAGCCCUGAAAGGCCUGGUGUCUCUACAGGGAGGAUGACUCUUCAGCCACUGUCCUUUGCUUCUGUCUCCCUGUGCACGAUGUCUAAAACAGGCACAGUGGGCGGGCACAGGUGAGCUUAAGUGACACGAGGACGUGGCUGAGGAAGGAGGCACGCCUGGGGUUGGGGUUUGUGUGUACAAAUAGAGGCUUUGGAUUUCAGUCACUGAGGUGGGGGCCACUGGAGGGACAUGACCUCACCCACAGUCAACCCCAGAUGCAGAGACAGAAGCAGGAUGAGGAGGUGGAAGGCAUCCAAAUGGACAGAGUGGAGUGAGUGUGUCCGUGUGUCCGUGUGUCCACGUGUGUAGAAGCUGACAUCAGAUACCAUGAAAGAGACACAGACAGGCCAAGGUUUACUUGCGAAUGUUUAUUGUGAUGAGUCUUGUUGAGGCCUCUAGUUUCUGCUACACCAUCAAUAUUGAACUCUUGUGGAGACUCCUCUCAGAUAUUUGGUUGUAGCCCAGAGUCAUGGAGACCCUGCAGGCCUCCAUCAUUGAACAGAGCCAGGAUGAUCCUGUGACCUGACUGGGUGGCAGGUUCGGGACCUGAGUCUGCAGCUGCACAAGCUCCAGGAUGCUGCACAGCACCCUGCACACCUUACUGCGCUAUGACGGCAGGUUAACCCUCUCUCUUCCCUAUCACCACGUCUCCAGUUCUGCCUCCCUCCAUAGAGCACACACCGCUGUUUUCUGUCUUUCCCAUCUCCCCAUCACAUAUGAUCAUCACAGUGGCCUUUUCCCCAAGGAAAUGAAUUUUUGUUUUGUUUUGU
rnacentral:lncRNA from 1 species